rnacentral:lncRNA from 1 species
ACAAACUCCCACAGUAUCCUGAAACAGAGCCAUCCACUUCUCCUGGAUGUCCACAUACAUCUUGGUGGUCGUAAGUUCCUGUCUUAUUUCAGCUAAUAUGCUUUUUAUUUGUGAAAGCAGCAUAAUAAACUCCCGUGGAAUACUGUGGAAUCAAUCUCCAGGCUCUCCAGUGAAUAGACACAGGAUAAAGCCCCAUUGCCCUCCGUAUACCAAUGGGAAGGGAGAAAAUCACUGCCUGGCUCAGAUCUGUGGGCUUUGCGUUGAAGACUGGUAUUUGCACCCUGAUGAUAGGGUGCAUUGCCCACCAGCAAGGAAGGCCACUGUGGAUACAGUCCUGAGGGUGGCACACACUGGUCUCUGCUGCUUCAGCCUGUGA